rnacentral:rRNA from 1 species
AGUCACUGACAUUAGAUACCCCCGUAGUCCAGGGUGUAAACGCUGCAGACUUGGUGUUGGAGGCCCUUUGGGGGCAUUCAGUGCCGGAGAGAAGUCGUUAAGUCUGCUACUUGGGGAGUACGUCCGCAAGGAUGAAACUUAAAGGAAUUGGCGGGGGAGCACCGCAACGGGAGGAGCGUGCGGUUUAAUUUGGAUUCAACACCGUAAACUCACCAGGGAAGACUGUUUACAUGAAGGCCGAGAUGAAGACUCUGCUAGAUUUUCAG